UUUCACCUCCACCACCUGACAGGUACUCACAGGGUACAGCAUUCACUACCCUGGUGUGUUUAUGGAAGGAAACCUUGGUUUUUCCACUCACAUGAGGGAUCCAUGAGAAGCCUGAGCACUCAUGCCUGUCUCAUUUCAUUGAUGAGUUAAGUCAUCAACCUGAUACUUUUGGCUCAGAGGACUCUGCUUGUGACUUGCAAACUUGGACUGCCUUUUUUCAGGGAUAGCGUUGGCUCAGUGACUCCUGUGAUGGAAUUUUUCAUCCAUCAAGUUAUGAGUCCAGGAGCAGUCUGCCUCCCAUUGUUCUGGGUUGUGCAAUAAUAAAGGCCUUAUUAUAGUAAGCCACAUUUAAUCUUGAGAUUCCACUGACUAUGGGAUGAUGUGAAAAUAGCUGGUUUCUGCUAACAUAAAGGAGUGAACAGCUUUUGUUGAGAAUUGCAAACUUUGUGUGCCUCAAAGGCAUGGUAUGAUAGCAGAAUAUACCUCUGUCCGGUUUGGCCUUGUUUACAUUGCUGCCCAAGGCCCCCAGUGAAAGACUACAAAGCUUUAUGGUCCUGUUUUGUAGACCAAAUGUUAAAUUUUCUGGGUUCAGAGGUCACCCUGAGGAAGGAGCAGUUUUGACAGCCUCUACUGCUUCUGAGAGCAGCAUGAAAUUACUGUCUUGUUCACAGGGGAUAUUGUUGCCUUGUGCUCAGUCAGCACUGUGAGCAAAACCUUCUCCAGGUCCUACAACGGAGCCAUGUGCCCUUGUGUGCAGAAUCCUGUAAGGUGCCCUCAUGCGAUAUACUUAUUUUGAGUAUCAUCACUUCCUGCAUUCCUCUUUGGUUGGCAUUACAUGUGUCGUAAGUGGGAUGAAGUGACCUUCAAACCAACUCUCAUGCUGCCUUGGAUUUGAGUCAGGUGCCUACAGGAGGAACCCGUUGUGUUCUACCAUCUCCUUGCUGAUCCCAGAUCGUGGUGUUUUGUGAAUCAGAAUGUUUUUCUCAAGAACGUGGAACCCAUCUGUCCAAACUGCAGACAAAGGAGGGUCAGCUGGUGUGAGGACAGGAGUCUCAUCUUAGCAGACGCCUUGCUCCAACUACAAAGCUCCCUCUUGAAAGUCAGGGCCUCCCUCUCGCCUCAGGGGCAGCAAGUCCUGGGGAGCAGCGGAGGCUGUUCCCAGCUGUGCCAUGUAAAUGCAGGCCGGACUAAGCUCUCCCUCCUUCUCCUGCACACCUCCUGUAAAGCACUGGUCCUGAGGGGAAGAGCCAGAGCCAGACAGGCUGCAGUGACCCACAGUGUCUUUGGCUGAUGUCCACUGAGGAGGCCUGCAGUGACCCAGGACACAGGCCUGAGGACUGUGAGAAGUUCUGUACCUGCUCAUCCUUCCCAGCCACAGUGGCGGGUCAGGCGGAUGCUGUCCUGAGAGGCACGUGCCCAGCAGUCGGUUGCAGCGUCCUGCCCCCUCGUCCUGUGAGUCCAGCGUGUCUGGAAUGAGGAUGAUCCCUCAACAGUUGUGCACAGCAGGCUCCACGGCUCCUCUGCAGGACCUGGGAAGAGACUGCCCUCGUUCGUCCUGAGCACAAUGCCACAUCCCUGUGAACAAGACAACUUCAUGGUGCUCCAGAAGUGACAGGGUUGUCACAAGUCUCCCCUCCACAAGCUGACCUCUGAACCCGCCAAAGAGCAUGGCAGUCAGCCUACAAAGGAGGCUUUAGGCAGCGAUGGAAACCAGGCCGAAAGCGGAGAGAGAACCAUAAUUUCCGAGCCAUCGCACUGUCCUCUCUGAGGCACACAAAACCCAGUCAUCCCUAUUUACCAACCACUCAAUACAAAGCAUUCCCACACUUAAAUGGGAGGGCCUGCCUUCAUCAUCACGAAAACCAGGGUAAUGGGAGGCAGGCUGUCCUCAGGUUCACGACUGGAAAACGGAAAAUCCAACACAGAGAUCGUGGUGUCAGCGGCACUCUAGACAAAGGUCGUGCAUCUUUUCAAGUCGCCGCAGAAUCCUCCCAGUCAGAAGUGGCCCCAGUCCACACUGCCUGAGGCAUCAGAGACGGGACUGAGUGGUCCGGCGUUUCAUAAAGCCCUCCCCUGAGGCAGAACACCGCCCUUUACCUUCCUGGACACGAUGGGGGAGCGGGGGUGAGUGGCGCACACUGUGGGCACCAAAGACAGACGUGAAAGGGUUUUGCUACAGAACUGCAGUGACAUAAAUCUGGUGCCAACUCUAGGCAUUUAAAGGAAAAAUGCAGCUCCCACAGAUCUGGAAUUAAUACAGAUUUUCAUAUGUUUGAGGUUCAACUGAGGCAGAUGACACCCUCACGAGGCAUCUCCCUUAGUGUUCAACUGCAGAAUCCAAACAGCCCUCUGGGGAGUUCCCGUCGUGGAACAAUGGAAACAAAUCCGACUAGGAACCCUGAGGUUGCGGGUCUGAUCCCCGGCCUCGCACAGUGGGUUAAGGAUCUGGCGUUGCCGUGAGCUGUGGUGUAGGUCGCAGAUGCGGCUCAGAUCCUGUGUUGCUGUGGCUGUGGUGUAGGCCGGCAGCUGUACCUCCAAUUCGACCCCACGCCUGGGAACCUCCAUAUGCCACAGGCGCAGCCCUAAAAAAA
rnacentral:lncRNA from 1 species